rnacentral:lncRNA from 1 species
AAACCGGGAAUACCGGGGAUACCGGGGAUACCGGGGAUACCGGGGAUACCGGGAAUACCGGGAAUGGGGGAUACCGGGAAUACCGGGAAUACCGGGGGUACCGGGGAUACCGGGGAUACCGGGGAUACCGGGGAUACCGGGGAUACCGGGGAUACCGGGGGUACCGGGGAUACCGGGAGGGACUGGGGAUACCGGGGAUACCGGGGAUACCGGGAGGGACUGGGGAGAGCUGGGGGGAACUGGGAGGGUUCGUACCGGUCCAUACUGGUCUGUACCGGUCCGUACCAGUCUGUACUGGUUUAUACUGGUCCAUACUGGUUUAUACCGGUCCAUACUGGUCCGUACUGGUUUAUACCAGUUUAUACUGGUCCAUAGCGGUCCAUACUGGUCUGUACUGGUUUAUACCGGUCCGUACUGGUUUAUACUGGUCCAUACUGGUUUAUACCGGUUUAUACUGGUUUAUACUGGUUUAUACCGUUCCGUACUGGUCCAUACUGGUCCAUACUGGUCUAUACUGGUCCGAACUGGUCCAUACUGGUUUAUACUGGUCCGUACUGGUUUAUACCGGUCCGUACUGGUUUAUACUGGUCCAUACUGGUCCGUACCAUACUGGUCCAUACUGGUCCAUACUGGUCCGUACUGGUUUAUACUGGUUUAUACCGGUUUAUACUGGUUUAUACCGGUCCGUACCGGUCCGUACUGGUCCAUACUGGUCCAUACCGGUCCGUACUGGUUUAUACCGGUCCAUACUGGUCCAUACCGGUCCAUACUGGUCCAUACCGGUCCAUACUGGUUUAUACCAGUCCGUACUGGUUUAUACUGGUUUAUACUGGUUUAUACCGGUCCGUACCGGUCCAUACUGGUCCAUACUGGUUUAUACUGGUUUAUACCGGUUUAUACCGGUUUAUACUGGUUUAUACCGGUCCGUACUGGUCUAUACUGGUCCGAACUGGUUUAUACCGGUCCGUACCGGUCCAUACUGGUCCAUACUGGUCCAUACUGGUCCGUACUGGUUUAUACCGGUCCAUACUGGUCCGUACUGGUCCGAACUGGUGCAGGCCCAGCAGCGGCUCCAGGAGGUGGCGCUGGAGGCUCAGCAGGCCCAGCUCAAACGGCUGCGCCAAACCAGUGAGAGGUACUGGGGAAACUGG